UACGUAGGGUGCAAGCGUUACUCGGAAUUACUGGGCGUAAAGCGUGCGCAGGCGGUUGUGCAAGACAGAUGUGAAAUCCCCGGGCUCAACCUGGGAACUGCAUUUGGGACUGCAAGGCUGGAGUACGGCAGAGGGAGGUGGAAUUCCACGUGUAGCAGUGAAAUGCGUAGAGAUGUGGAGGAACACCGAUGGCGAAGGCAGCCUCCUGGGCUAGUACUGACGCUCAUGCACGAAAGCGUGGGGAGCAAACAGG
rnacentral:rRNA from 1 species